CAGUCGUACCUGCGGAUAAUCAGCCUUUAGGAUGCGAUUUUGUGGAGCGUGAGGAGCUAAUCGCCUUCAUGCCUAUAUAUUCGUGUACUUGGGGUGUACUUAUUCGUGAGGUAAGUUAACAUCAAUUUUGGUCGUCAUAAAAUGACUGGAGGAAUGUAGCUUCGAUCUCGUAUUGAAGUGUUAUAGCCUUUGGUAGAUGUGAUUAUCGGGAUUGAGGAUUGCAACGGAUACCCUUCGGGGCUACCUGUCUGAUCUCUGAUCGUUGCUCUGGUGCCGAAAGCGUGCUUACGGUUAUCAAAGUCGAUGGUCAACAGGUUAGAACGGGUUAAUUCGUUAAGGAUGUUGACGUAAUGGCUUUAAACGACCGUCUUAGAAACACGGACCAAGGAGUACUAACAUAUAUGCG
rnacentral:rRNA from 1 species